rnacentral:rRNA from 1 species
UGGGGAAUAUUGCACAAUGGGCGCAAGCCUGAUGCAGCCAUGCCGCGUGUGUGAAGAAGGCCUUCGGGUUGUAAAGCACUUUCAGCGAGGAGGAAGGUGGUGAGCUUAAUACGCUCAUCAAUUGACGUUACUCGCAGAAGAAGCACCGGCUAACUCCGUGCCAGCAGCCGCGGUAAUACGGAGGGUGCAAGCGUUAAUCGGAAUUACUGGGCGUAAAGCGCACGCAGGCGGUUUGUUAAGUCAGAUGUGAAAUCCCCGGGCUCAACCUGGGAACUGCAUUUGAAACUGGCAAGCUAGAGUCUCGUAGAGGGGGGUAGAAUUCCAGGUGUAGCGGUGAAAUGCGUAGAGAUCUGGAGGAAUACCGGUGGCGAAGGCGGCCCCCUGGACGAAGACUGACGCUCAGGUGCGAAAGCGCGGGGAGCAAACAGGAUUAGAUACCCUGGUAGUCCACGCUGUAAACGAUGUCGAUUUUGGAGGUUGUGCCCUUGAGGCGUGGCUUCCGGAGCUAACGCGUUAAAUCGACCGCCUGGGGAGUACGGCCGCAAGGUUAAAACUCAAAGGAAUUGACGGGGUCAUAGCUGUUUCCU